CUAAUUUUUGAAAACUGCCCCCUUUCUUGUUUUGCCUGUGUCUAAAGACUUCAGAUGCUCAGAGAAAGUACCUGAUGCUGAAAGACAGGAAAUUGAACAAUGUCACCCAAAUAUGCCUUGUGUCAUGCAUGCACUGUUACAGCUGUAAGCUUUGGAUGUGAAUCCUGCCAAAUUGUGGCAUGGCACUCAACCCCUCAAUAAGAAGUCAACAGUCAGUCCCAGUCAGCACUGUGAGAACUCCAGAAAACAUCUCAAACCUGGACCUUGCUCCAAGGAGCUGAUAAUGGUUUCUCUUCCAUUCUCCCAAACCAAGUAUCCACUUAAAAAGCUGGAAGUUUCUUCUUAGAAACUUCUUCGCUGUUGCAAGAAUCUUCAGAAGCCUGGAUUCUGAACAGUCUCGCCUAAAAAUUUCUAGAAUUAACUUCCUUUCUUCUAUGACUGUCGGCGUGCUCUAUCAAAGAAGCUUUUUAGGCCUUGCUGAUUGGCAUGAUAUUGAAGAACAGCCAGAUAUGGAGCAAAAUUCUCCUUGA
rnacentral:lncRNA from 1 species